AUGCCACGUGCUGAUGGUCCCUUUAAGGUGUUAGAGAAAAUAAAUGAUAAUGCAUAUAAACUUGAGCUGCCUGCAGAUUUUGGGGUUAGUCCCACUUUUAACAUUGCAGAUUUGAAGCCUUAUUUGGGUGAGGAAGAUGAACUUCCAUCGAGGACGACUUCAUUUCAAGAAGGGGAGGAUGAUGAGGACAUCAAUACAAUUGUUACACCCACAGCCCCUGCUGCUAUACAUACUGGACCAAUUACUAGAGCUCGUGCACGCCAACUAAAUUACCAGGUACUUUCGUUUCUUGGUAAUGAUUCUAAUGUUCAUGAGAAUAUGAUGCUGCCUAAAUUGGAUACAUUUGUUUUGCUUACAAAUGAAGGGCCUAGCUUAGAGAAGGAUGAACAUUGGAGCAAGAACAAGCAUGGAGAUGAUGGCAUGCGCAAGGGGAACAAGAACGGAGUUACAAGUGAUGAUUUCAGGACUUUGAAGCCACCAUAA
rnacentral:rRNA from 1 species